UGCGGUGGCGGUCAGCCCUCUCGGCCCCACCGAAGCUUGAAGGACAACAGGGAGACGCUUGAAAAUGCACUGAGGGAGAGGCACGCGUGGGUCUCUGCUAAUGCACCGUAACGCCUGAGAAGGGAGCAAAGCAUGGGAUCAGUGACCUGGAAACCGGCUACACUCAGCAGGAUCACUACACCCAGAAAGAGUACAAGUAUCUUAUCAUUGGAUGAUUGGACCAAGUCUGGCAAAAGAAGAACCAGGCACCUUUCUCCAAACGUGCAGUUCAAAAAUCUCAGCCUGGACAGUAAAAUGAUUGCCUUCUGUAAAUAAUACAAGUUAUUUGAAUGCAAUAUACCUGUAAAGCAUUAUUUUUUGUAUAACGCACUUAGGUACCAAUAUUUCAUUUCCAGGGGAAUAAACUGAAUACACAGUAUAUUUUAGAUACACAUGUGGAAAUGUAUGUAGACAAAUAGGACAAAGGAGCAACAACUGAUUUAAAUAACAGAUGGUGUUGAUCAAAGUCAGGUCAAAUGAAGAUAUGGCAGAAGCUGUACUGAAAGACUGUAUCAUGAGGUGAUACGAGAAAUGCAUUAAAAAUAAAGUUUACUCUUUUAAAUUUG